ACUCAUUGGACCCGGGGGCGGUACCCGGCGCCUCCACCAAAAUAUAAUAAAUAAAAAGUUAUAUUUUGGUGGGGGCGAAAUAGGAUCGACAAGGGCGUAAAGAUUGCUCUUUUACUCGGCAUAGUACCACCGUUAUCGGACUAAAUGAGUAGUUGCAAAUGACAACUAUGCGGAAGCACGUCUCGCUGCUUGAUGCAGUGCGAAUGUUUCAAACUAAGCCUUAAACCGUCGCAGGUUUAAGCGGGGUUCGAAGG
rnacentral:tmRNA from 1 species